UAGUGGUGCAGCGGUAGUAACACGCGUCCCCGGUAUGGAUGAUAUGCGGGUUUGACUCCCGCCUGAA